UCAACUAGUGCCUGAACCCUACGAGGACUC
rnacentral:sRNA from 1 species